UUACGCUGUAUUAUUUCCAGCAAAACAUUGUAUUGUUUAUUAUUAAGAAACACUUUUGUUUUCUCAGUAAUCCUGAUAAUUCUUUUCAAAUAUUUCACAUAAAAACGUACAACAAAUUUUCCUAUAUAAAGGGUUGCACAUUCAUGUAUAACCAAAAGCAGAACCUGCUAGAAGAUUUACAAUGAAGCAGCUAACAAUCUUGUUUGUCAUCAUUUCCGCCUUGAUUCUUUGCUAUGAACCAGUUUUAGCAUGUAUUCCUAAUGGUAAACCAUGCCAAGCUGAUGGUAGUGAGGGAAACUGUUGUUCUGAAUUCUGUUAUCAACAAGUAGGAUGGGCCCAAGGAGAUUGUAGAGACCGUUAGAAAUGAUCCUGUGCGGUAAAAUGUUAACAAAACAUGAAUAAAAACAUACUUAAAACGAA